rfam:Cajanus cajan chromosome 11, whole genome shotgun sequence.
AGAGUAUAUUUGUGUCAGGAUGACUUGCCGACAUAUGCUUCAAAGUGAUUAUUAUUGGCGUCAUCCUGACUCAUAUUUCCUUU